UUUGAUCCUGGCUCAGGAUGAACGCUAGCUACAGGCUUAACACAUGCAAGUCGAGGGGCAUCAUGUAUCUGGCUUGCCAGGUAUGAUGGCGACCGGCGCACGGGUGCGUAACACGUAUCCAACCUGCCCGUUACUCGGGGAUAGCCUUUCGAAAGAAAGAUUAAUACCCGAUGGUUUCCUCCGGAGGCAUCUCCGUUGGAAUAAAGAUUUAUCGGUAGCGGAUGGGGAUGCGUCCGAUUAGCUUGUUGGCGGGUAACGGCCCACCAAGGCAUCGAUCGGUAGGGGCUCUGAGAGGAGGGUCCCCCACACUGGAACUGAGACACGGUCCAGACUCCUACGGGAGGCAGCAGUGAGGAAUAUUGGUCAAUGGGCGUAGGCCUGAACCAGCCAAGUAGCGUGAGGGAGGACUGCCCUAUGGGUUGUAAACCUCUUUUGUUUGGGAAUAAAGUGCCGCACGCGCUGCGGUUUUGUAUGUACCUUACGAAUAAGCAUCGGCUAAUUCCGUGCC
rnacentral:rRNA from 1 species